UGCUUUCUCAAAUGCUGUUCCCAGCGAGGUACUAAGACUGCUUCAUCUCCCUCUGGCUUUCAUCUAGGGAUAUCAGGCAGACCACAGCUCCAGCCCCUCAGGAUCUGACCCCAUAGGAUUUUCACCACAGUGACAGGGCCCUGGGCAAUGCCUCAGCUUGCUCCUGUGGUUCAGGACAGAAGCCAAUAAAAGAAUUACUGCUACCCAUGUGAGAAGCAAUACUUCUAUACUGUCUGUGAGACAAGUGCCAAGUGAAACAGGUUUCUGCCUCAAUGAGACAUUUUGCAAACAUGCUAAGGCUACAAAAUGUCCAAAUUGACAAAGACAUGCAACGCUGACCAUUCAAUAAGUCACGGUAUUAUAGGAGCAACUGUGCCCACCCGGGCCACAGGUCCCGUAAAACAGGGAUGGUAUACAGUGAUUAUGGCAACAUACUAUGCAGGACCCAGUAACCUGAGGUAGGUCUCUUUAUGGUAAGAAAACUAUGUCCUACACCAGUGUUAGAUCCUGAUCAACAGGAACCUGUUUAAAGUUCCAGAAGACAUGGAGUGGGGGACUGUUUCCUUAACAAGUGUGCAAUAAAGAAACAGGAAAUAUUGAUGUUGUUUAACCUUAGUGUAAGUGAGCAGAAGAAAGAGUUAGUGUUACCCAUGCCAAUGAAAGCCAACCUAAAUCUCUGAGGAGUGUUAGCAGCUUCAAGAUAAAGGAGUCAGUCAGCUGAAGCAACUCUGAAAAGGCUUUCCAGCUAGCAUACAGGGUAUGAUUUGAACCUUAUUAUUAAUUUGUUACAGAACAUUCCACAAACAGUUAGAUUUUGGUUGUGUUAGAUCAGCGAAGCAGGAGGAGCUUGAGCUUGCUUGCAUCAAAAUAAACCCUGCUGAUACAUUAAGAAAUACUGUAUCAGGACACUAAGAAAUUACGAGGCCUUAAUGUGAGCCAGAAGUGGUUCUCCACUCAGGAGAUCACUAAAAACCCUGCUUUGGGAAAGCAUAUGGGAAGCAGCAGCUGCUGCCAUGGUGAACAUUAGCGAUGCUCCAAAUAGCUUUGAUAAAUUACAAUGCAAUAGAGUUACACCACAGAGCUCUUCUCCCCUGUGCUAGACAACAAAGAU